UUAUGUGUUUAUUUCAGUUUUACAUCUUUAGAUUUCUUUUCUGCACUUCUAAACAAAAAUAGAGCAAAACCCCCCCCUAUUUUCUGCACUUCUAAACAAAAAUAGAGCAAAACAUUACUAUAAUCCCAUAUACAACAAACAGGUUUAUGAUAAUGACGAAAGUGCAAAAACACGUUUGAAAUAUGAAUAAAACAUGCAAAAAGAAACAACAGGUUAUCUGAAUAUGAAAUUUCGAAGAGUUUGCAUGAUAUAUGCUAAAUAAGGUUUAAGUAACUUACUCAGUCAAACAAAGGCAGAUUUCGGAGGUAGCAAAAAAGAAUGAUUUUUUUGUUCUUAUUCUUAAUCAAAAAUAAUUUCAAAGAGGCAGCAAAUAUUUCAAAUGGAUUUGUGUUAGCAACAAGUAAUGAUUUUUAGUUCUUCAUAUGUGCUGCCUCUUUGAUUUUUUUUGAAACAGCAAAGUAAACAAAAUUCCUGCAUUUUCUAUGAAACACGAAAAGCAAGAGCAAAUAGAUCUACGGAGAUCUAAAAAACGACAAGUAACAGUUUCAUGUGUAGAUAUUCAGAGAUCUACGAAAAUGAAAAUCUGAAAAACAAUAAACUAAUAAUGCGAAAAAAAAAUAAGAUGUCUGUAUAGGAAAAAAAAAGAAAAGUGAAGCAAUAUCAUCAAAAAAUACCUAAAUUCGUUCUCAAAUAAAAUUUGUGCCUUGGGUUUUUAAAGAACAAAAUGACAAAAAACAUUGGAGCAUAUGCAGACGAAAAUUUGUUGCUAUUGUUUAAAUGAACAAAAACGAUACUUCAGCAAGAAAAAUUAAACAUGGAGAAAAUUAAAAAAAUUAAAAUUAAAAAACGAAAAACUAAUAAACGAAAAAAAAAAUUAGAUCUUAUUCGGUGUUAAAAAAAACGAAUCUGCAAGCAAAAAAAUUCAAAAUUUAAUAUGGAGAAGUAGGCCGAGAUCUGGAGGCUAGGGCUUGGACGACGGCGGCGGCGUAUCUGUGCAGACGGAGGCAGCGGCGNUACAUUCUAAGAGCAUCCGCAAUGGGGUUACAUGAUAGCUUACAUGAUAGCCUAAUUUAUGAUGGGGGAUCACAUGGUGUAAAGAUGCUGCAGUGGGGUUACAUGAUAGCUUACAUGAUAGCAUCUACUUAAUAUAUAAAAACACAAAAACAAUGCACCAAAAUACACACCCACUUUCCCGCCAAAUUGCAUUUCAGCCAAUAUUCUUUUUUGUCUUAUUUGCACGUGCUUUGUGCUGCAAAAUUGUGGCUGCAAUAAAUGACUCAAUAAAUUUUUUACUGUUCAACAUAUCUUUUUCAGAUUAUUUUUGUACGAUUCCUGACAUAUCUAAUACUAUACAUAUAAUUAUUGUGGGGCUCAAUGACAACAAUUAAUGCAGAGCUCAUUAAUUAAAACUUAGCCACUAAGAUACAUUCUUUAUAUAUCCCUCACCAGCCAUAUUUCUUCUGCAUCUUCUUUUCUCCCUCACCGGCCACUUUUCUUUCGGCACUAUCUUGCUUCACUUUGCUUUCUUGCUUCUCUUUCUUUUUCCAUUUUUCUUUCGGCACUUUCUUGCUUCAAUGUCAGCACUCUUUCUAUUUUGCUUCUCUUUCUUAUCUUUCUGUUCUUGCUUCUCUUUCUUUCCACUUUUUUCUUUGUCAGCUUCUUGCACCUUCUUUUCUACAUUUUAAUGAGCAGCAGCUUCUUGCACCUUCUUUUCUACAUUUUAAUGAGCAGCAGCUUCUUUUUCUAUCUGUAAUAUUGGCAUAUUCUUGCUCUUUUCUCUAAGCUUCUUGCUUCCUAAUUUUUAUUAUUUUUUUAUUUCUACCUAAACUUUUCAUUUCUACUCUAAGCUUCUUUCUCACAACUUCUUACAUCAUUUUCUUUAUUUUCUUUCUUUUUUAUAUUUUAGCUUUUUUGUUUCUAUUUUAUAUGUUUCUUUCUAUUCUACAUAUUCGUUCUUUUCUUUCUUAUAUCUUCUAGUUUAAUUUUCCUAUCCUAUUUUAUGUGUUUAUUUCUGAUUAACUACAACUUUAGAUUCUUUCUUUCUUUAUUUUUUUAUAUCUUCAACUAUCUUUUCUUCCUAUUUUAUGUGUUUAUUUCAGUUUUACAUCUUUAGAUUUUUCCCCCCUAUUUUCUGCACUUCUAAACAAAAAUAGAGCAAAACCCCCCUAUUUUCUGCACUUCUAAACAAAAAUAGAGCAAAACAUUACUAUAAUCCCAUAUACAACAAACAGGUUUAUGAUAAUGACGAAAGUGCAAAACACGUUUGAAAUAUGAAUAAACAUGCAAAAGAAACAACAGGUUAUCUGAAUAUGAAAUUUCGAAGAGUUUGCAUGAUAUAUGCUAAAUAAGGUUUAAGUAACUUACUCAGUCAAACAAAGGCAGAUUUCGGAGGUAGCAAAAAAGAAUGAUUUUUUUGUUCUUAUUCUUGAUCAAAAAUAAUUUCAAAGAGGCAGCAAAUAUUUCAAAUGGAUUUGUGUUAGCAACAAGUAAUGAUUUUUAGUUCUUCAUAUGUGCUGCCUCUUUGAUUUUUUUUGAAACAGCAAAGUAAACAAAAUUCCUGCAUUUUCUAUGAAACACGAAAAGCAAGAGCAAAUAGAUCUACAGAGAUCUAUAAAACGACAAGUAACAGUUUCAUGUGUAGAUAUUCAGAGAUCUACGAAAAUGAAAAUCUGAAAAACAAUAAACUAAUAAUGCGAAAAAAAAUAAAGAUGUCUGUAUAGGAAAAAAAAAGUGAAGCAAUAUCAUAAAAAAUACCUAAAUUCGUUCUCAAAUAAAAUUUGUGCCUUGGGUUUUUAAAGAACAAAAUGAACAAAAACAUUGGAGCAUAUGCAGACGAAAAUUUGUUGCUAUUGUUAAAUGAACAAAAACGAUACUUCAGCAAGAAAAAUUAAACAUGGAGAAAAUUAAAAAAAUUAAAAUUAAAAACG
rnacentral:lncRNA from 1 species